rnacentral:rRNA from 1 species
ACGGAGGGUGCAAGCGUUGUCCGGAAUCAUUGGGCGUAAAGCGUUCGUAGGCGGCAUACCAAGUCUGGUGUUAAAGCCCGAGGCUCAACCUCGGUUCGGCACUGGAUACUGGUAAGCUAGAAUACGGUAGAGGUGAAGGGAAUUCCUGGUGUAGCGGUGAAAUGCGUAGAUAUCAGGAGGAACAUCGGUGGCGAAAGCGCUUCACUGGGCCGUUAUUGACGCUGAGGAACGAAAGCCGGGGGAGCAAAUGG